UAUGGCCACAUCGCAUUGGAACACUGGUUACCGUACGAUCACCGAUGUUAAGCAACGUUGAGCCUGGUCAGUAACUAGAUGGGUGACCGCUUGGGAAUACCAAGUGCUGUAA